rnacentral:misc_RNA from 1 species
GAUGAAGAACGUAGCGAAAUGCGAUAAGUAAUGUGAAUUGCAGAAUUCAGUGAAUCAUCGAAUCUUUGAACGCACAUUGCGCCCGCCAGUAUUCUGGCGGGCAUGCCUGUUCGAGCGUCAUUUCAACCAUCAAGCCCCCCGGCUUGUGUUGGGGACCUGCGGCUGCCGCAGGCCCUGAAAAGCAGUGGCGGGCUCGCUGUCACACCGAGCGUAGUAGAUCUCAUCUCGCUCAGGGCGUGCUGCGGGUUCCGGCCGUGAAACCCCCUACUUUUAAAGGUUGACCUCGGAUCAGGUAGGAAUACCCGCUGAACUUAAGCAUAUCAAUAAGCGGAGGA